rnacentral:rRNA from 1 species
GUGGGGAAUAUUGGACAAUGGGGGGAACCCUGAUCCAGCCAUGCCGCGUGUGUGAAGAAGGCCUUUUGGUUGUAAAGCACUUUAAGCGAGGAGGAGGCUACCGAGAUUAAUACUCUUGGAUAGUGGACAUUACUCGCAGAAUAAGCACCGGCUAACUCUGUGCCAGCAGCCGCGGUAAUACAGAGGGUGCAAGCGUUAAUCGGAUUUACUGGGCGUAAAGCGCGCGUAGGUGGCCAAUUAAGUCAAAUGUGAAAUCCCCGAGCUUAACUUGGGAAUUGCAUUCGAUACUGGUUGGCUAGAGUAUGGGAGAGGAUGGUAGAAUUCCAGGUGUAGCGGUGAAAUGCGUAGAGAUCUGGAGGAAUACCGAUGGCGAAGGCAGCCAUCUGGCCUAAUACUGACACUGAGGUGCGAAAGCAUGGGGAGCAAACAGGAUUAGAAACCCGAGUAGUCC